GUUUUAGUAAUCCUGUGCUUAGCUAGCUUCACCACGGCAAAAUUGCCCUUACCGAUAGUCCUUUCGAUAUCAUAGAAACCGACCCGAAUAGGAUUCUUCGUUAUCCUUUCGCGCUCGCCCAUUUUUGAGAUUUUAUGACUAAAAGUGCUAGUGAUUCAACUCAACGCACGCCGACAUCUACGAACUAUUCAACAAUUUUAUUGCUAUAUUCGAUGUAAAUAUUGUCAUUAUUGUGCAUGCGGACUGGAGCAGAACUUUUCUAUACUACCAAAACGGAGGUACGAAUACAACUGUCAGCUGUUCACUCGGCUCUCUAUCCCAUGGGUAUCUUGCUCAGAUCUAGUGCGCCGCUAAUCGCGCUCCACUGCCAGCUUUGACGUAAAUAUCAACGCACGGAGGAUUUUCCGUAAUCCUCAUAAUAUCGUGAUAUCCUCGGAGCAUUUUCGGUUAUCAUUUGAUUGAUCGAUGGUGAUUGUGUAACGAAACAAGUCAGGUAAACACAGAAAAGUCGUUGGCGUUGAUCCUAAUAAAUACAAGACUAUCAAGGUUGCAAGUGAUGUUCACGUCUCCAAUCAGGCGGAUGUCUCUUUUCUGGAUGGAAUCCAGCAGCUUCAAGGUAUUCAUAGCGGCGGAACUCUAUACACGAGAACAAUACUCCAAAGAAGGUCUGAUCUGAGAUUAAUAAAGCAUCAAAAGUUGCUGGGGUGUUUAAAGUUUUCUGGUUCGGAACAGUUUUCCGUUGAUUACAUCUACCGCACAUUCGAAAAUUAUGAAAACAUUCACUAAGGAAACAUGAAUAAAAUGUCAAAAAAUA